rnacentral:lncRNA from 1 species
GAUUGAGGAGAGGAAGCAGCUCAUCACUGUGAGAGAGGAGGCCUGGAAGACGAGAGGCAGAGGAGCGGCCAACGACUCGACCCAGUUCACUGUGGCUGGCAGGAUGGUGAAGAAAGGUUUGGCGUCACCUACUGCCAUAACCCCAGUAGCCUCAGCCAUUUGCGGUAAAACAAGAGGCACCACACCCGUUUCCAAACCCCUGGAAGAUAUCGAAGCCAGACCAGAUAC